rnacentral:tRNA from 1 species
UGCAGUGCAGUGGGUCACACACCUGGACUCUGGAGCCAGGCUGCCUGGGUUCAAAUCCCAGCUCUGCAG